GCUUUGAUUCAAGAGCUGCACUGACACUGUCACAUGAAAUCCCAGCCUCAGACUCCCUAUGGGAAUGGAAGCUUCACUCACUGAAGAGCAUGAAAUCCUCAGCACUUUUGGACACCAGAGUAACGUGCCCUCAUGCAUAAGAAGUCAUUCAUUAUUGGUCAGGAAGUAAAGGGUUACUGCAAGAUUGAGGAUCAUAAAGUGAUGUGCUGAUGGGGGUUGGGUCUAAUGAAAAGAAGUGAUGAGGAUUUCAUGCUCUUCAGCGAGUGAAGCUUCCUUUACUAUCUACCUUGUUUGCGGCAGCAACGCCCUGACAGCACCUGGUCCGGAGGGGAAUAGUGCGUCUUCAUGCUGGAGUAGAUCUAGAUCUGGAAUUCUACAAAGGAGAAGUUGCAAGGGAGUAUGGUCCCUAUAUAUUAUUGAGGUAUAUCCAACUAGUUUAUGACUUAUCUUCCAGCCUCGUAUACCAUUGACCAUCAAUGGGGUCAUAUCUUUGAUUUUCCCUCCUUUCC